rnacentral:rRNA from 1 species
CGGUAAUUCCUUCUCCCCGAGUGGUAAGGACGAUUAUUGGGCCUAAAGCGUCCGUAGCUGGCUUGAUAAGUUUCCCGUUAAAUCCGACGAUCCAAUCGUCGGGCUGCGGAAAAUACUGUUAAGCUAGGAGGCGGGAGAGGCCGGCGGUACUUUUGGGGUAGGGGUGAAAUCCUAUAAUCCCAAGAGGACCACCAGUGGCGAAGGCGACCGGCCAGAACGCGCUCGACAGUGAGGGACGAAAGCUGGGGGAGCAAACCGGAUUAGAUACCCGGGUAGUCCCAGCUGUAAACGAUGCGGGCUAAGUGUCGGGAUGGCCAUAGAGCCAUCUCGGUGCUGCAGGGAAGCCGUUAAGCCCGCCGCCUGGGGAGUACGGCCGCAAGGUUGAAACUUAAAGGAAUUGGCGGGGGAGCACCACAAGGGGUGAAGCUUGCGGUUCAAUUGGAGUCAACGCCGGGAACCUCACCGGGGAAGACAGCUGAAUGAAUGCCAGAUUGAAGGUCUUGCAGGACUAGCUGAGAGGAGGUGCAUGGCCGUCGCCAGUUCGUGCCGUGAGGUAUCCCGUUAAGUCGGGGAACGAGCGAGACCCACACCCCUUAUUGCCAGCGGAUCCUAGCGGAUGCCGGGCACUUUAGGGGGACCGCCACCGAUAAGGUGGAGGAAGGAGUGGGCCACGGCAGGUCAGUAUGCCCCGAAUUCCUCGGGCCACACGUGAGCUGCAAUGGCGGGGACAAUGGGCUCCAACCCUGAAAAGGGAAGGAAAUCCUUAAACCCUGCCUCAGUUGGGAUCGAGGGCUGCAACCCGUCCUCGUGAACAUGGAAUCCCUAGUAAUCGCGUGUCAUCAGCGCGCGGUGAAUACGUCCCUGCUCCUUGCACACACCGCCCGUCGCUCCAAUCGAGUUGGGUCUAGGUGAGGCGCGGUCUUGUUGGUCGUGUCGAACCUGAGCUCAGCAAGGGGGGAGAAGUCGUAACAAGGUAACCAAGGGCGAAAAA